GACAGGCCAUGCUGCUGAUUGCCAGGACCACACAUAGGGGCUGGCUCUUCAGAGCCGUGGGCAUUCCCUCUGCCACUUGUGGGCUCCGCACUUGCCAAGGACAGCCCAUGCUGGCCACGGGCCUGACAAGCCACAGCAGGAUGGUGGCCACCCAAAAGCCGGUGUGCUCAGCACCCACAUGUGCUGCUUAUGGUGGGGGGAAAAAAAAAAAAGAAAAAUUUUAUUUAAAUCUGUUUCUCUGGAAAAGAAAGACUCAACAGAAGAUGAAAGAGCCCAGUGCCAGAUGCAGAUUCAAGCUUUUUUCUUCCCCAAAGCCACAGGGUUCCUCCCGCAUGGUGUCCUGGUGGGAUGGGUCUGGAGCUGAAGCAGAGGAGCAGCACCACAGGAAAUGGACACUUGGCAUCGCCCUCGUUAAACCUCACCUGGGAUCGACUCCAUGGAAAGGAACAUGAAGGCAACUGGAUGAAAGGUGCCUGAGAAAGGAAGAUGUGAGGGCUCUGUGCUGACCAAACCUCCCCAGCGUGCCCGCAUUCCAUGCAGAGCCAAUGGCUGCCCACAGCAGACGGCCCCAUCCACGCAUGGUGCCAGGAAGGGCUAUGAGCACAUCGCAGAUUCCUGUUGGCAAAACAGGCCAAAGAAAGGCUACAAAAUAAAUAAUCACUUUCAUCUGAACUGCA
rnacentral:lncRNA from 1 species